rnacentral:rRNA from 1 species
GAGUUUGAUCUUGGCUCAGGAUGAACGCUGGCGGCGUGCCUAAUACAUGCAAGUCGAGCGGUAAGGCUCCUUCGGGAGUACACGAGCGGCGGACGGCUGAGUAACACGUAGGAACGUACCCCAAAGUGAGGCAUAAGCACCAGAAAUGGUGUCUAAUACCGCAUGUGCUCUUCGGAGUAAAGCUACGGCGCUUUGGGAACGGCCUGCGCAUGAUUAGCUUGUUGGUGAGGUAAUAGCUCACCAAGGCGAUGAUCAUUAGCUGGUCUGAGAGGAUGACCAGCCAGACUGGGACUGAGAACGGCCCAGACUCCUACGGGAGGCAGCAGUAGGGAAUCGUUCCACAAUGGGCGAAAGCCUGAUGGAGCAACGCCGCGUGCAGGAUGAAUGCCUUCGGGUUGUAACUGCUUUUAUCUGUGAAGAUUAUGACGGUAG